GCCCAAGAGAUCGGGAUAACACCUGGAAACAGAUGCUAAUACCGGAUAACAACAGAUGAUGCCUAUCAACUGUUUAAAAGAUGGUUCUGCUAUCACUCUUGGAUGGACCUGCGGUGCAUUAGCUAGUUGGUAGGGUAACGGCCUACCAAGGCGAUGAUGCAUAGCCGAGUUGAGAGACUGAUCGGCCACAUUGGGACUGAGACACGGCCCAAACUCCUACAGGAGGCAGCAGCC
rnacentral:rRNA from 1 species